rnacentral:rRNA from 1 species
GGGAUCGCUGAACUGUAGAGAAUGGUUUCCCCUUCGGGGGCAACGGUGACAGGUGGUGCAUGGUUGUCGUCAGCUCGUGUCGUGAGAUGUUGGGUUAAGUCCCGCAACGAGCGCAACCCUUGAUCUUAGUUGCCAUCAUUUAGUUGGGCACUCUAAGGUGACUGCCGGUGACAAACCGGAGGAAGGUGGGGAUGACGUCAAAUCAUCAUGCCCCUUAUGACCUGGGCUACACACGUGCUACAAUGGACGAUACAAACGGUUGCCAACUCGCGAGAGGGAGCUAAUCCGAUAAAGUCGUUCUCAGUUCGGAUUGUAGGCUGCAACUCGCCUACAUGAAGCCGGAAUCGCUAGUAAUCGCGGAUCAGCAUGCCGCGGUGAAUACGUUCCCGGGUCUUGUACCACACGCCA